AUGGAUGAGAGAGUCACACGGUCAAGGUUUAUCGAUUCUGACUAUCAUACUCAUUCAACAUUUGUUGCUUCUUUUGAGCCCAAAGAUAUAUCUCAUGCAUUAACUGAUGAAUCAUGGAUCAAUGCCAUGCAUGAGGAAUUAGAAAAUUUUGAGCGUAACAAAGUUUGGACUCUUGUUUCACCUCCUUCUGGUCAUACUCUUAUUGGAACUCGUUGGGUUUUCAAAAACAAACAAAGUGAGGAUGGUGUUAUUGUUCGCAACAAGGCUAGGUUGGUUGCUCAGGGUUUUACUCAAGUUGAAGGUCUUGAUUUUGAUGAAACUUUUGCUCCUGUUGCUAGAUUGGAAGCUAUAAGAAUUUUAUUGACUUUUGCUGCAUCUGAAGGUUUUAAGCUUUAUCAAAUGGAUGUUAAAAGUGCUUUUCUUAAUGGCUUUAUUGAUGAGGAGGUUUAUGUUAAGCAACCACCUGGUUUCGAGAAUCCAAAGUUUCCCAACCAUGUUUAUAAACUUUCAAAAGCUUUGUAUGGUUUAAAACAAGCCCCACGUUCAUGGUAUGAUAGGUUGAAAAUGUUUUUAAUUGGAAAGGGGUUUACCAUGGGAAACGUUGAUAAAACACUCUUUGUACUCAAACAUGGCAACGAUCAACUUUUCGUACAAGUUUAUGUUGAUGAUAUUAUCUUUGGGUGUGCUUCUCAUGCUUUGGUGUCAGAAUUUUCAGAAAGUAUGAGCAGGGAAUUUGAAAUGAGCAUGAUGGGUGAACUUACUUACUUUUUGGGACUGCAAAUCAAACAAACAAAGGAUGGCACCUUUGUGCAUCAAAGUAAGUAUACGAAGGAUCUUCUAUGGCACUUUGGGAUGGAAAACCUCAACCCUAUUAUGACACCAAUGGGAUCUACGGCGUCACUUGAUCUUGAUGAGGAAGGUGAAACUGUUGACCAAAAGAUGUAUAGGAGUAUGAUUGGUUCACUUCUUUAUCUCGCCGCUUCUAGACCGGAUAUACAAUUUUCUGUAUGCUUGUGUGCACGGUUUCAAGCUUCUCCACGUGCAUCACAUCUACAAGCUGUCAAGCGGAUCUUCAGGUAUCUACAUGGCACCCAAUCUUUUGGCAUUUUGGCUUUCUGCUUCCUCGAGUAUUUCAUUGCGUGCAUUUUCGGAUGCUGA
rnacentral:rRNA from 1 species